CCCCAAAGCUCAGAGACCUGGACCAGGACUAGGACCAGGACCAGGACCAGGAUCAGGACCCAGCUGUGUGUCCAUGAAGAGUACUGACUCCAAGGACUUAUUUAUUUUCUUCCAACAGGAUGGUUCAUCAGAGUCAGUGAUCCAUCAGAGACCACAGUCCUCUGGACCUGAUCCUGGACCCAGUUGUGUGUCCUUCAGGAGUGACCGGUCCAUGGAUUUACCACUAUGCUUUUCCACAGAGACGUAAGUUUGAUGUAAAUGUUGGAUGUGUCGACUGUUUAUUAAAUCUAUAUGAAAUAUUGACUUUAGUUUGAAGGUUUAGAACGGGUUCAUUUUCAGAUUCUUCACAUCAUUUAUUGUCUAAAGGUUUCAUGAGUAUAAAAUAAAUAGACGUUAGAACUGCUAACCAAACUGACGUUCCCUCCUGACACAGAGGCGUCUCCAUGGUUACUGACCUUUCUGCAUUCUGAUUGGCUGACAGGUGUCCCUUAGUUUAGUCUUAAAGUGACUGUUCAGUAAAUGUUCUUCAGUGUCUGAAAUGACAUUUCUGUGACUAAACUCAGUUCAGUCCUGCUGCCAUGAUGUGUCUGAUGGGGAUCCUGAUCAACUGAACUCAACUAAACCUGUUGAUCAACUCAAACAGUGAGUGUGAAGCUCUGGAACGACGAGCCGCCGUUAGCAUGUUCAGCAUGGGGAGAACUGGAUUGUAUUAUUGAAGGACAAAGGAAGAUGUUUAAAGACAACUGGUUUAGUCUGGACUUAAGGGGGAAAGGAACAACACAUGUUUCAGUUAGGGACAACUAUUUAUUCAAGUACUUCUAAAAUGAUUCAACUGUUGGUCGGUGUACGUCUAUGAUGAGGGAUUAGUGCCCAGCCGUGGGAGCCGGGUUUCUGCGCCGUCUAGAGCUCCAAACAGAAGCCGAAUAUGAAGGAAAUACUGAAUAUAGCAGGUGUUUGGACGUGGACCCACAGAAAAGGAUUCAUAUAAAACUGAUAAAUGCACGGUAGACACAAACGGACCUGUGUGGUGUUCCUGGGGGAAUGGUCUGUGGGCCCAAACAGUCCCCGGGGGCUUGACGGACCAGUUCUAGUUCCACCCAGGUGAUGCACACACAGGUGAGUUUGAGCAGGGCUUUGAGCUGAUGGUUUCAUGGAAAUAUUCAU